UCCCUUAGAUGUUCUGGGCUGCACACGUGCUACACUGGCAGGUUCAGCGAGCUUCAUGCCCUGAUCUGAAAGGAAUGGGAAAUCUUUUCAAAACCUGCCGUGCUUGGGAUAGAUGUUUGCAAUUAUUCAUCUUCAACGAGGAUUGCCUUGUAAGCGCACGUCAUCAGCGUGCAUUGAAUACGACCCUGUAUUCUGUACACACCGCCCGUCGCUCCUACCGAUUGAAGUUUUCGGUGAGUUGACAGGAGGAUUUUUUUGAAACUGGUUCGCCAGUGGAUUUUAGAUCCAAAUGCCAACGAAUCGAUGGCUUUAGAGGAAGGAGAAGUCGUAACA
rnacentral:rRNA from 1 species